rnacentral:rRNA from 1 species
GAUGAACGCUAGCGGCAGGCUUAACACAUGCAAGUCGAGGGGUAACAGGGGAGCUUGCUUCCGCUGACGACCGGCGCACGGGUGCGUAACGCGUAUAGAACCUACCUUUUACAGGAGAAUACCCCAGAGAAAUUUGGAAUAAUGCUCCAUAGUAUUAUUGAACGGCAUCGUUUAAUAAUUAAACAUUUAUGGGUAAAAGAUGGCUAUGCGUUCUAUUAGCUAGAUGGUAAGGUAACGGCUUACCAUGGCAACGAUAGAUAGGGGUCCUGAGAGGGAGAUCCCCCACACUGGUACUGAGACAGGGACCAGACUCCUACGGGAGGCAGCAGUGAGGAAUAUUGGACAAUGGAGGCAACUCUGAUCCAGCCAUGCCGCGUGCAGGAAGACGGUCCUAUGGAUUGUAAACUGCUUUUAUACAGGAAGAAACACUCCCUCGUGAGGGAGCUUGACGGUACUGUAUGAAUAAGCACCGGCUAACUCCGUGCCAGCAGCCGCGGUAAUACGGAGGGUGCAAGCGUUAUCCGGAAUCAUUGGGUUUAAAGGGUCCGUAGGCGGGCUAAUAAGUCAGGGGUGAAAUCCAACAGCUUAACUGUUGAACUGCCUUUGAUACUGUUAGUCUUGAAUUAUAUGGAAGUAGAUAGAAUGUGUAGUGUAGCGGUGAAAUGCUUAGAGAUUACACAGAAUACCGAUUGCGAAGGCAGUCUACU